rnacentral:rRNA from 1 species
UACAGAGGUCUCAAGCGUUGUUCGGAUUCAUUGGGCGUAAAGGGUGCGUAGGCGGCGCGGUAAGUCAGGGGUGAAAUCCUGGAGCUCAACUCCAGAACUGCCUUUGAUACUGAGGAUCUUGAGUACGGGAGAGGUGAGUGGAACUGCGAGUGUAGAGGUGAAAUUCGUAGAUAUUCGCAAGAACACCAGUGGCGAAGGCGGCUCACUGGCCCGUACUGACGCUGAGGUGCGAAAGCGUGGGAGCA